AGGUAAAACCUCAACUACUACGAGGACUAGUAUCGUAUGAGUUGUUUUGGGACUAGUCUGAAUUGUUUCUCAGAGGUUAAACGUUGGCAACUACCAGUCGUUAUAUGACUUCUAAUGUCACAAAUCAUGUGCGGAAAAUAUAUUUUCUGGGAGUGUGAUAGAGGUAGAACCUCAACUACUACCAUGUAACUUUGGCUUUUGAUUUAGGAAAUCAAAUUGCAAGAAAUAACUUUUCUCAGGUAGAAGCACUACUACUUGCAGAAUUUGAUGCACUCGAUGGCUGUAAAUGGCUAGACCACAAUCCAUCCUCUGCAAUGCACUUGCCAGUGGAUCUCGAACAGAGAGUUCUUUGUUCGCAACAGUUUGUCCAGGAGAAUGCUUGUGUGAGGGAACUGAACACUGAAACCAUCAAAGAAUGGGUAAAUGAAUAUCCUCCUUUACCUAUUGGAGAACGUUACUUCAAUAGAGAAUUAUCAAAAUUAAGUUCUGUAGCUGAAUAUUAUCGUUAUUGACCAUAAUUGUAAUAUUGCUUAUUUAUGUUAUAAUGUAUACUACAAGCGCUCUGAUUUUUUACAGCAAAAGGUUACAUUUUCUUGGACAUGUGUGAAACUCUUGAAACUCAACUUGUUCUUCAUAUC